rnacentral:snoRNA from 1 species
UAAUUCUUCUUUCGAAUAAAAAAUAAAAAUAUCAUGGCUCUUCAACACAUUUCAACAUGUUCAAGUAAUUUGUGUUAGUGGAUGACCAUUUAGGGGCUGCUGGCCUGGUUACCGGGAGUUUUUCUUGGAUCCAAGCUAGCUUUUCCGUCUGAUUAUCCUUAAGCUUCACAAAUUACAAUUUUUCCCACGCAUUAAGAAAUAAGCUCAAGAUGCCUAAAAUAAGUUCUAUCCCGCCUUUUUUCGCUAACAAUGACUGAGUAUUCCCACAGUCUAUAGUUUGAUAGUAGAUGGGCGGAAAUUU